GCGCGAAACCUCUGCAAUAGGCGAAAGCUUGACAGGGUUACUCUGAGUGAUUUCCGUUAAGGAGAUCUUUUGGCACCUCUAAAAAUGGUGCAGAAUAAGGGGUGGGCAAGUCUGGUGUCAGCCGCCGCGGUAAUACCAGCACCCCGAGUGGUCGGGACGUUUAUUGGGCCUAAAGCAUCCGUAGCCGGUUCUACAAGUCUUCCGUUAAAUCCACCUGCUUAACAGAUGGGCUGCGGAAGAUACUAUAGAGCUAGGAGGCGGGAGAGGCAAGCGGUACUCGAUGGGUAGGGGUAAAAUCCGUUGAUCCAUUGAAGACCACCAGUGGCGAAGGCGGCUUGCCAGAACGCGCUCGACGGUGAGGGAUGAAAGCUGGGGGAGCAAACCGGAUUAGAUACCCGGGUAGUCCCAGCUGUAAACGAUGCAGACUCGGUGAUGAAUUGGCUUAUUGCUAAUUCAGUGCCGCAGGGAAGCCGUUAA
rnacentral:rRNA from 1 species